GCACUGUCAACUGUGGGACCUUAUAUAGACAGGUGUGUGUGUGUGUGCCUUUCCAAAUCAUGUCCAAUCAAAUUUACCACAGGUCAGGGCCAAUCAAGUUGUAGAAACAUCUCAAGGAUGAUCAAUGGAAACAGGAUGCACCUGAGCUCAAUUUCGAGUCUCAUAGUAAAGGGUCUGAAUACUUAUGUAUAUAAGGUAUUUCUGUUUUAAUUUUUAAUACAUUUGCAAAAAAAGCUAGAUGUGGAAAAGGGUACGGGUCUGAAUACUUUCUGAAUGCAAUGUAUGUCACUUGAAUUUAUUCACAACGAGUGCAAUAUGUAUUAUGACUUAUGGCCAAAUUCAACAACCAUUUAGAGGGGGAAAAGUUAUCCCCAUCUUAUUGUAUAAUUGACUUAUAAUGAAUGACAUUGCCAAGUUAAGUAGUGGACAGAAAGUUUUGCUAAAAUGCAUUUUAGCAUAUUAUUUGUGGCUGCUACAGUUGUCAUACAUGCCAAAGUUUAGAUUUCAGAAGGGUUUGUAAAACUGGAAUGUGUUGACAUGACAACUUUCUUUGCUUUGCUUUUUGAAAACACUUUUGAGAUAGUAUACUUCAUCGGUUAUCUGAAACUCAGAUCAUUUAGGUGGAGUGAAAUGCAUUUGAAAAUCCUAGAAACCACUAAAUUUGCACCUGUGUUGUAUGAACUGUAUGAGUAACUGUUAACUAAGGUUGAUGGGAUCAUUUCUCUCAUGUUGGUUCAUGACUAAGACUUUGACUUUACUGUUCGAAAUGUAAUACUUUUAUAUUCACUAUAUAAAAUUAAUAAGUGGCCAUGCAUUAACAUUUACUGUUCGAAAUGUAAUACUUUUAUAUUCACUAUAUAAAAUUAAUAAGUGGUCAUGCAUUAAUAGGCAAAGAAUCUUUUUGCUUGUAUAUUGAAAGUGAGUUAUUUGAACUUAAUUUUGGAUAUUAUAUUGAACCUUUGGUUGGUUUCAAAAUAUUGUUUUUAAAUUGUCAACAAUUAAAUUACUGAAAGGCAUAUUUUAAAAAAUUCAAAAAUCUAUUUAACCUUUAUCCAGGCGAAAUAAUUAAGAACAAAUUCUUAUUUACAAUGACGGCCUAGCAUACCAGUCAGAGCCAGACUGCUUUAAGCCGUGAUUUCACCUUUAAAUUAAUUACUGUAGUAAUUUUAAGAGGUACGCACACUUGCUUGUUUGCAUGGUUGUUGUACUGUAUAUGCACCAUGAUUGUAAUCUUCAAAUUAUUACAUGCCAAUUUAAAUAACAUGCAUUCUUCAUAUGUGGUAUGUGUUUUGGGUGGAUGUAUAGACUUAUUACCUCAAUGAGGUAUGCUAUGAAGUGUCACAAAAACCAUUUUGCUUUCAUUACUGUUUACUUCAUGUAUGGACUCUUAACGAUAGGCAGCUGUGUAAUUCAUGAGACAGGGCGUUGAGAGAGAAAUUUAGUCAACAAUCACUUCUUCACAACUGGAAUCACAGCACCAAAAAUAUUUCCCACCCCAAUGCAAAUAUUCAGAGGAAUGCUUUUUUUGUGUUAUCUUGGCCAAUCAUCUUUUUACUUAGCUUAGGUCGGGGUAUGUAGUUUUCUUUGCUUAUUCUAUAAAUGAUUGUUUUGCACCUUAUAUGUUUAUAUUUCUGUGUACUUUAUGUUAAUGAUUGUGAGUAUGUCCACAGCAAAUGUGCAUGUUAAUUCAUGAGCCAAGACCAAGAAAAAUGAGUUCUUGAUCCUCGUGCUUCUAGAUUUAUACUGUCAUCUAUUUCAGAUUUUCCAAACUGAGCUUGUACCAAAAUUCUAAUUCUAGAUCUACAUUUAGCCUACCAUUUGAUAUAUUGUAAUAUACACCAUGUAACUUUAACAAAUGUAUGUAUGCACAAUGUUGUAUGCAGCCAAAUGAAAGUCAAUCAGUUAUACUGUGGUAUUAGUGUAUUAUAUAUUUUUGAGGGGGGAAAUUGCAACGAUUCCUUUGAAUGGUUGAAAUGCCUGCACACUUAUAUCACUGUUUUUGAAAAGGGAUAAAUUAACAAUACAAAACAUUUACCUUUAAUCGGUAACACUUCACAUUUAGGUACCCUUUAAGGGAGUUGUAAAGGGUUUAUACGUAUAAUGAACAAAAAUAUAAACGCAACAUGUGAAGUGUUGCUCCCAUGUUUUAUGAGCUGAAAUAAAAGAUCCCAGAAAUGUUC